rnacentral:rRNA from 1 species
CCUACGGGAGGCAGCAGUGGGGAAUAUUGGACAAUGGGGGAAACCCUGAUCCAGCGAUGCCGCGUGAGUGAAGAAGGCCCUAGGGUUGUAAAGCUCUUUCAGGGGGGACGAUGAUGACGGUACCCCCAGAAGAAGCACCGGCUAACUUCGUGCCAGCAGCCGCGGUAAUACGAAGGGUGCAAGCGUUGUUCGGAAUUACUGGGCGUAAAGCGCGCGUAGGCGGUCUACUAAGUCAGACGUGAAAGCCCUGAGCUUAACUCGGGAACGGCGUUUGAUACUGGUAGACUAGAGAUUCAGAGAGGUGAGUGGAAUUCCUAGUGUAGAGGUGAAAUUCGUAGAUAUUAGGAGGAACAUCAGUGGCGAAGGCGGCUCACUGGCUGAAUACUGACGCUAAGGCGCGAAAGCGUGGGGAGCAAACAGGAUUAGAUACCCUGGUAGUCCACGCCCUAAACGAUGAGUGUUAGACGCUGGAAAUUGAUUCAGUGUCGUAGCUAACGCGUUAAACACUCCGCCUGGGGAGUACGGUCGCAAGAUUAAAACUUAAAGGAAUUGACCGGNUGAGAGNGCGACGACGACACGAGGAGAG